rnacentral:tRNA from 1 species
GGGUCGAUGCCCGAGCGGUUAAUGGGGACGGACUGUAAAUCCGUUGGCAAAGAAAAUAUGUCUACGCUGGUUCAAAUCCGGCUCGGCCCA